UACGACUACAUAUCAGGCAUAUCAAUAAGCGGAGGAAAAGAAACUAACAAGGAUUCCCCUAGUAACGGCGAGUGAAGCGGGAAGAGCUCAAAUUUGAAAUCUUAAAGGGUUUCCCUUUACGAAUUGUAGUUUAAAGAAGUGUUUUCUGUUGGAGUUUCGGUAAAAGUUCUUUGGAAUAGGACAUCAUAGAGGGUGAGAAUCCCGUAUUUGACCGUUACUUUCCAGCUGUGUGAUACACUUUCAAAGAGUCGGAUUGUUUGGGAAUGCAGUCCAAGAUGGGUGGUAAAUUUCAUCUAAAGCUAAAUAUUGGCGAGAGACCGAUAGCGAACAAGUACCGUGAGGGAAAGAUGAAAAGAACUUUAAAAGAGAGUUAAACAGUACGUGAAAUUGUCAAAAGGGAAGCGUUUGACACCAGUGUUGUUUAGUUGAAAAUCAAUUCAAUAGUUUUUGAUUCUAAGUAGUAUUGACUUCAUCAGCUUGCUGCUUUCUUCUCAGAAAUUAUUGAAUGCACUUUUCAGUUAACAAGUCAACAUCAAUUUCUUUUGUUGUAAAAGGGUAAGAGGAAGGUGGCUUGCGCUUCGGCUCAAGUGUUUAUAGCCUUUUAUCUCUGCAAUCGGAGAGAUUGAGGUCUGCAGCGUAGAUCCUUCGGGGUUAGAUACAUUGGUGCUAAGCUAUAGCCUUGUAUAGACAACUUGUUGACUAUGCUCAGUCAUGUAGCUUACUCGCUGAUGCUAUUUUACCUACGCUUAGGAUGUUGAGUAGCGACAUACGCAC
rnacentral:rRNA from 1 species